UUACCUGGUCCGGACAUCAAAAGGAUAGACAGACUGCCAGAUCUUUCUUGAUAUGGUGAUUGGUGGUGCAUGGCCGUUCUUAGUUCGUGGAGUGAUCUGUCAGGCCAAUUCCGGUAACGAACGAGACCACUUUCUCCAUUUGACGAGCCGGAGAAGGUGUUGGUAUCGUGUAUAUUUGCUUGCAAGUGUGCCCGGUGUCAGCACUGCAGGCAUCGUAGAGUAGUUCAGAGUGUGUCGGUGGAGGUGGCAACAUCGAAGUCGACAUGCUCGGGGUUACCUUUGCGCUCCCUCCGGGUUAGCAGUGCAUUACCUGCAAGGGUUGUGUAUUGUAUCAUGGAGAGACAACGGAAUAUAUUAAAAAAAUCCGAGGAAGUGUGGCUAUAACAGGUCUGUGAUGCCCUUAGAUGUUCAGGGCUGCACGCGCGCUACAAU
rnacentral:rRNA from 1 species